CCUUCGGGGAACGAUAACGGCGUCGAGCGGCGGACGGGUGAGUAAUGCCUAGGAAAUUGCCCUGAUGUGGGGGAUAACCAUUGGAAACGAUGGCUAAUACCGCAUGAUGCCUACGGGCCAAAGAGGGGGACCUUCGGGCCUCUCGCGUCAGGAUAUGCCUAGGUGGGAUUAGCUAGUUGGUGAGGUAAGGGCUCACCAAGGCGACGAUCCCUAGCUGGUCUGAGAGGAUGAUCAGCCACACUGGAACUGAGACACGGUCCAGACUCCUACGGGAGGCAGCAGUGGGGAAUAUUGCACAAUGGGCGCAAGCCUGAUGCAGCCAUGCCGCGUGUAUGAAGAAGGCCUUCGGGUUGUAAAGUACUUUCAGUCGUGAGGAAGGCGGCGUCGUUAAUAGCGGCGUUGUUUGACGUUAGCGACAGAAGAAGCACCGGCUAACUCCGUGCCAGCAGCCGCGGUAAUACGGAGGGUGCGAGCGUUAAUCGGAAUUACUGGGCGUAAAGCGCAUGCAGGUGGUUUGUUAAGUCAGAUGUGAAAGCCCGGGGCUCAACCUCGGAAUAGCAUUUGAAACUGGCAGACUAGAGUACUGUAGAGGGGGGUAGAAUUUCAGGUGUAGCGGUGAAAUGCGUAGAGAUCUGAAGGAAUACCGGUG
rnacentral:rRNA from 1 species